rnacentral:rRNA from 1 species
GACGAACGCUGGCGGCGCGCCUAACACAUGCAAGUCGAGCGAGUGAAUCUCCUUCGGGAGUGAAGCUAGCGGCGGACGGGUGAGUAACACGUGGGCAACCUGCCUCAUAGAGGGGAAUAGCCUUUCGAAAGGAAGAUUAAUACCGCAUAAGAUUGUAGCUUCGCAUGAAGUAGCAAUUAAAGGAGCAAUCCGCUAUGAGAUGGGCCCGCGACGCAUUAGCUAGUUGGUGAGGUAACGGCUCACCAAGGCGACGAUGCGUAGCCGACCUGAGAGGGUGAUCGGCCACAUUGGGACUGAGACACGGCCCAGACUCCUACGGGAGGCAGCAGUGGGGAAUAUUGCACAAUGGGGGAAACCCUGAUGCAGCAACGCCGCGUGAGUGAUGACGGCCUUCGGAUUGUAAAGCUCUGUCUUCAGGGACGAUAAUGACGGUACCUGAGGAGGAAGCCACGGCUAACUACGUGCCAGCCGCCGCAGUAA